rnacentral:tRNA from 1 species
GCCGGCGUAGCUCACUCGGUAGAGCAGCUGAUUCGUAAUCAGCAGGCCGCGGGUUCGAGUCCCAUCGUCGGCUCCA